AUUGAACGCUGGCGGCAUGCCUUACACAUGCAAGUCGAACGGCAGCACGGGAGCAAUCCUGGUGGCGAGUGGCGAACGGGUGAGUAAUGUAUCGGAACGUGCCCAGUCGUGGGGGAUAACGUAGCGAAAGCUACGCUAAUACCGCAUACGAUCUAUGGAUGAUAGCGGGGGAUCGCCAGACCUCGCGCGAUUGGAGCGGCCGAUGGCAGAUUAGGUAGUUGGUGGGGUAAAGGCUCACCAAGCCAACGAUCGGUAGCUGUUCUGAGAGGACGACCAGCCACACUGGGACUGAGACACGGCCCAGACUCCUACGGGAGGCAGCAGUGGGGAAUUUUGGACAAUGGGCGCAAGCCUGAUCCAGCAAUGCCGCGUGCAGGAAGAAGGCCUUCGGGUUGUAAACUGCUUUUGUACGGAACGAAAAGGUUUGGGUUAAUACCCUGGGCCGAUGACGGUACCGUAAGAAUAAGCACCGGCUAACUACGUGCCAGCCGCCGCAGUAA
rnacentral:rRNA from 1 species